UACGGGGGGGGCAAGCGUUGUUCGGAAUUACUGGGCGUAAAGGGCUCGUAGGCGGCCAACUAAGUCAGACGUGAAAUCCCUCGGCUUAACCGGGGAACUGCGUCUGAUACUGGAUGGCUUGAGUGUAGGAGAGGGAUGCGGAAUUCCAGGUGUAGCGGUGAAAUGCGUAGAUAUCUGAAGGAACACCGGUGGCGAAGGCGGCAUCCUGGACUACUACUGACGCUGAGUGAGCGAAAGCCAGGGGAGCAAACGGG
rnacentral:rRNA from 1 species